AUACCAGACUCCUACGGGAGGCAGCAGUCGGGAAUAUUGCGCAAUGGAGGAAACUCUGACGCAGUGACGCCGCGUAUAGGAAGAAGGUUUUCGGAUUGUAAACUAUUGUCAUUAGGGAAGAUAAAAGACUGUACCUAAGGAGGAAGCCCCGGCUAACUACGUGCCAGCAGCCGCGGUAAUACGUAGGGGGCAAGCGUUAUCCGGAUUUACUGGGUGUAAAGGGAGCGUAGACGGCGAUGCAAGCCAGAUGUGAAAGCCCGGGGCUCAACCCCGGGACUGCAUUUGGAACUGUGUGGCUGGAGUGUCGGAGAGGCAGGCGGAAUUCCUAGUGUAGCGGUGAAAUGCGUAGAUAUUAGGAGGAACACCAGUGGCGAAGGCGGCCUGCUGGACGACAACUGACGGUGAGGCGCGAAAGCGUGGGGAGCAAACAGGAUUAGAUACCCCAGUA
rnacentral:rRNA from 1 species